rnacentral:rRNA from 1 species
AACGAACGCUGGCGGCAGGCUUAACACAUGCAAGUCGAGCGCCCCGCAAGGGGAGCGGCAGACGGGUGAGUAACACGUGGGAAUCUACCCAUCCCUACGGAACAACUCCGGGAAACUGGAGCUAAUACCGUAUACGCCCUUCGGGGGAAAGAUUUAUCGGGGAUGGAUGAGCCCGCGUUGGAUUAGCUAGUUGGUGGGGUAAAGGCCUACCAAGGCGACGAUCCAUAGCUGGUCUGAGAGGAUGAUCAGCCACAUUGGGACUGAGACACGGCCCAAACUCCUACGGGAGGCAGCAGUGGGGAAUAUUGGACAAUGGGCGCAAGCCUGAUCCAGCCAUGCCGCGUGAGUGAUGAAGGCCUUAGGGUUGUAAAGCUCUUUCACCGAUGAAGAUAAUGACGGUAGUCGGAGAAGAAGCCCCGGCUAACUUCGUGCCAGCCGCCGCGGUAAUAC